UCAAAACAAUGAGUUCUCCACAACCCUUGGACCAUGACCCCUGGACGGCAGCAGAAAGAGAAUGAUACAAAUUGUGGGAAUGGAGAACCUAAGACCAGCUUGCUCUAGCCCAGCAGAGAACAUGUCAAGGGUGACUCAUCUGCUUUCUCGUAAAGCCUUCAACUGACUGGGUGAAAAUCACCCACAUUAUAGAAGCUGCAGGAACAAACUAAGACACUGGGUAAGGAAGAAAAGCAAGCAAACAAACAAACAAACAAAAAACAGUGGCACAAUGGAGAGUAAGUGGGGGAGUUGGAGGAAAAGAAGCCACAGAACAAACACCACCUAAAGGAGUUAAACCUCCAACUUCCCCAAGAUUUGGUGAGAGAAGACGGGUGUGAAAUGAUAGAAAUUCCAAUCGAAAUGUCGAAAAGUUUGAGAAGGAGUCUGAAACAUC